UAUUAAAAAAAUUAUCUAUUUGUACUGUUAAAAACUAAUGUUGGAAUAACCAGACAACGACACAUGGUAUGCCAUGUGUACCUCAUAGUGAUAUAUAAAGAGUAGUUUUUAAUAGUAAAAACUGAUCAAAAUCUUUAACA
rfam:Gossypium hirsutum cultivar TM-1 chromosome 10, whole genome shotgun sequence